rnacentral:rRNA from 1 species
AUUGAACGCUGGCGGCAGGCCUAACACAUGCAAGUCGAGCGGAUGAAGGGAGCUUGCUCCUGGAUUCAGCGGCGGACGGGUGAGUAAUGCCUAGGAAUCUGCCUGGUAGUGGGGGAUAACGUCCGGAAACGGGCGCUAAUACCGCAUACGUCCUGAGGGAGAAAGUGGGGGAUCUUCGGACCUCACGCUAUCAGAUGAGCCUAGGUCGGAUUAGCUAGUUGGUGGGGUAAAGGCCUACCAAGGCGACGAUCCGUAACUGGUCUGAGAGGAUGAUCAGUCACACUGGAACUGAGACACGGCCCAGACUCCGACGGGAGGGAGCAGUGGGGAAUAUUGGACAAUGGGCGAAAGCCUGAUCCAGCCAUGCCGCGUGUGUGAAGAAAGUCUUCGGAUUGUAAAGCACUUUAAGUGGGGAGGAAGGGCAGUAAGUUAAUACCUUGCUGUUUUGACGUUACCAACAGAAUAAGCACCGGCUAACUUCGUG